rnacentral:rRNA from 1 species
UACGAAGGGGGCUAGCGUUGCUCGGAAUCACCGGGCGUAAAGGGUGCGUAGGCGGAUUGUUAAGUCAGGGGUGAAAUCCUGGAGCUCAACUCCAGAACUGCCUUUGAUACUGGCGAUCUUGAGUCCGGGAGAGGUGAGUGGAACUGCGAGUGUAGAGGUGAAAUUCGUAGAUAUUCGCAAGAACACCAGUGGCGAAGGCGGCUCACUGGCCCGGUACUGACGCUGAGGUGCGAAAGCGUGGGGAGCAAACAGG